AUUGAACGCUGGCGGCAGGCCUAACACAUGCAAGUCGAGCGGAGCGGCGGACGGGUGCGUAAUGCCUAGGAAUCUGCCUGGUAGUGGGGGAUAACGUCCGGAAACGGGCGCUAAUACCGCAUACUUUCCGGUGAGCCCUGGUCGGAUUAGCUAGUUGGUGGGGUAAAGGCCUAACAAGGCGACGAUCCGUAACUGGUCUGAGAGGAUGAACAGUCACACUGGAACUGAGACACGGUCCAGACUCCUACGGGAGGCAGCAGUGGGGAAUAUUGGACAAUGGGCGAAAGCCUGAUCCAGCCAUGCCGCGUGUGUGAAGAAGGUCUUCGGAUUGUAAAGCACUUGAAGUUGGGAGGCGUUACCAACAGAAUAAGCACCGGCUAACUUCGUGCCAGCAGCCGCGGUAAUUC
rnacentral:rRNA from 1 species